rnacentral:tRNA from 1 species
GCUUUGCUGGUAUAGUGGUUAGCAUAGCUGCCUUCAAAUCAGUUCACCUGGGAUUGAUUCCAGGCCAACGCC